rnacentral:rRNA from 1 species
GAUGAACGCUGGCGGCGUGCUUAACACAUGCAAGUCGAACGAGAAGUGAAGACGGAAACCUUCGGGCGGAAGGCUUUAUUUCGAGUGGCGGACGGGUGAGUAACGCGUGGGUAACCUGCCUCAUACAGGGGGAUAACAGUUGGAAACGACUGUUAAUACCGCAUAAGACCACGGCACCGCAUGGUGCGGGGGUAAAAACUCCGGUGGUAUGAGAUGGACCCGCGUUCGAUUAGCCAGUUGGCGGGGUAACGGCCCACCAAAGCGACGAUCGAUAGCCGAUCUGAGAGGAUGACCGGCCACAGUGGGACUGAGACACGGCCCAAACUCCUACGGGAGGCAGCAGUGGGGAAUAUUGCACAAUGGGGGAAACCCUGAUGCAGCGACGCCGCGUGAGUGAAGAAGUAUUUCGGUAUGUAAAGCUCUAUCAGCAGGGAAGAAAAUGACGGUACCUGAGGAAGAAGCCCCGGCUAACUACGUG